rnacentral:rRNA from 1 species
GAUGAACGCUAGCGGCAGGCCUAAUACAUGCAAGUCGGACGGGAUUGGAGAGCUUGCUUUCCAUGAGAGUGGCGCACGGGUGCGUAACACGUAUGUAACCUACCUUGUUCAGGGGGAUAGCCUCUCGAAAGAGAGAUUAAGACCGCAUAACAUCACUUUAUAGCAUUAUAGUGUGAUCAAAUAUUUAUAGGAACAAGAUGGGCAUGCGGAACANAGUCUAGUUGGUGAGGUAACUGCUCACCAAGGCUACGAUG